ACCUAAACCAUAACCAGGCACUGGACCCUUAACCACAGACACUGUGGUCUUGGUUAUGUCUGUUGUUACUACUUCUGAUUUUGAACUAGAUGUCAAGGGAACCUGUGUUACUAUCCUGACACCUUCAGAAUCUGCCUGUUUACUUACACCAUCUGCUGGACCUAUAAAACCUGUGGCUGCACUAUCUAGAGUAUGUUCAUACAUGUGAAGACACAUCCAACAAAACUCAUUAUGAUCAAUUUAGAUGAGCUACUAAAAAUGCAAACAUUGCUCAAGCUCAGAAGGUUUCCCAGGACAGAAUGAAUCCAUCUAGUGAAAGUGAACCUCUCAGAUCUUGGCUCUCCAAGAUGAUGUGAUACUGUUUCUUGCAAAGGAGAGACAGAAGGCAUCGACUGAACAGUUAAGCACAGAAAAAGGGAGAGAACAACUAACUGGUCAUGGAACAGCUUCAGCCAUUCUCCUUGCAGCUGAGUCCAAUAUCUAAUACCCACUGUGCCCAAACCAGAGGAGAUAGCAAUGAAUAUAGCUGUUGCCCACCCUGGUUUUGAACCUCAGUGAACGACAUAAAUGACUGCUAUGAAUCCCAGGAAACUGAAUGUGAGAAAGUCUGCUGUUGUUACAGUAAGGAGAAGAAAAAGAUCUACAAUAAGGACAGACUUAAUUUCUCAUUGGAAAUAAAAUAAAUGAGAAAAAAACAA